rnacentral:rRNA from 1 species
UACGUAGGGGGCGAGCGUUGUUCGGAAUUACUGGGCGUAAAGGGCGCGUAGGCGGCCUGUUGCGUCGGGUGUGAAAGCCCUGGGCUCAACCUGGGAGGUGCACUCGAAACGGGCAGGCUCGAAACCGAGAGAGGAUCGUGGAAUUCCCAGUGUAGAGGUGAAAUUCGUAGAUAUCGGGAGGAACACCAGUGGCGAAGGCGACUACCUGGCCUGUUCUUGACGCUGAGGCGCGAAAGCUAGGGGAGCAAACGGG